AACGAACGCUGGCGGCAGGCCUAACACAUGCAAGUCGAGCGAAGCCUUCGGGCUUAGCGGCGGACGGGUGAGUAACGCGUGGGAACGUGCCCUUUGCUACGGAAUAGCCCCGGGAAACUGGGAGUAAUACCGUAUGUGCCCUUCGGGGGAAAGAUUUAUCGGCAAAGGAUCGGCCCGCGUUGGAUUAGGUAGUUGGUGGGGUAAUGGCCUACCAAGCCGACGAUCCAUAGCUGGUUUGAGAGGAUGAUCAGCCACUGGGACUGAGACAAGGCCCAGACUCCUACGGGAGGCAGCAGUGGGGAAUCGUAGACAAUGGGGGAAACCCUGAUCUAGCCAUGCCGCGUGAUCGAUGAAGGCCUUAGGGUUGUAAAGAUCUUUUACCAGGGAUGAUAAUGACAGUACCUGGAGAAUAAGCUCCGGCUAACUCCGUGCCAGCAGCCGCAGUAACAC
rnacentral:rRNA from 1 species